rnacentral:lncRNA from 1 species
GAAAUCAGGCUGCACCUGUUUCCCAGGCUGCACCUGUUUCCCAGGCUGCACCUGUUUCCCAGGCUGCACCUGUUUCCCAGGCUGCACCUGUUUCGUCUCCGUGCGUGUGUCUGGUGUGUGUCGGUAGGCACGCACAGUUGCCCAUGCUGUUUGUCAAGCACGUAACAUCUGUGGCUUUCCGCUUUUGACUUUGUAUCAUUCACCCACACACUUGACAAACGUUUAUUGAGAGCUUCUCUACGCCUAUCACUGGGGAUUUAGGAUUAAAUGACUACCUACUGUUUUUUCACACAUCGGGCUGUAAUUUAUAUCAUCAUGGCUUUGAAAUUGCUUUUUGAGUUAAAUACAAACGGAACCAGCAGCACAGCUUCUGCCUGAAGAAGGUGGAGGUUGGACCUCACCAGGUGGGAGCAGUUGAGGGUGAAUCCGAGGCGAGGAGGUGAAGGCGGCGUGGAGGCCGGCGUCCACUCUGCCAAGGGGCUCGGCUGUGAAGAGGACAGAGAGGGUCAGACUGCUGCACAUCUGACUCUACGGGCAGACGGAAGGAAAAAGAUGGGUCCCAACAAGAGCCUCCCCAGGGCCUUUGCCCAGGCUUCAGAGCAGGCCCCUGAUCCCAUAAACACCUGCCUACUACACUCGUGGAGAUUUGGCCUUCAGGCUCCCCUGCACCUGCUUUUCUGUGAGUGGUGAUUAGUGGAGACUUAGGGACAGGCGGGAAGCUCAGCUCAUGGGGCUACUUGGGAGAUUCUGCAGGGUGGAGCAGUUGUUGGGAGGGGAGAGGUUGUUGUCUGAGUAGGAGACCUAAGGAGGAGAGGGAACAAGAGCCAGCCCAUUCUGGAGGCUGCCCUCCUGAUUCCGCCUGUGAUCUGAUUGAAGGUGAUCUGAUCCUUGGGAGUAAAUUUAAAAUAUGCCGAGUCUUAGGGACCUUUUAAAGAGACUCUUUAGCACCAGCUGAGAUCAUUUUUCAAUGAAAACCAAAAGCGCUAUUGAGGAAAACACAACCAGCAAAUAACAUGUUGGCAAGGAUGGGGAGAAAUUUGAACCCUCGUGCAUUGCUGGGAUGAAUGUAAAACGGUGCGGCUGCUGUAGAAAUGGUGCGGUGUGGCCAGGCGCAGUGGCUCACGCCUGUAAUCCCAGCACUUUGGGAGGUUGAGGCGGGCGGAUCACCUGAGGUCAGGAGUUCAAGACCAGCCUGGCCAACAUGGUGAAACCCCGUCUCUACUGAAAAUACAAAAAGUAGCUGGGGGUGGUGGCGCGUGACUGCAAUCCCAGCUACUUGGGAGGCUGAGGCAGGAGAAUUGCUUGAACCUGGGAGGCGGAGGUUGCAGCAAGCGAGUUCUCACUACUGCACUCCAGCCUGGCAACAGAGUGAGACUCUGCCUUAAAAAGAAAAAAUGGUGUAGUGAUUCCUCAAAAGAUGAAACAUAGAUUUACCAUGUUAUCCAGCAAUUCCCUCUCUGGUUAUUUACCCAAAAUAAGCAAAAAGCAAGGACUUCAACAGAUAUUUGUACACUUAGGUCCAUAGAAGAUUUUAUUUACAAUAGCCAAAAGGCAGAAACAACCCAAACGUGCAGUGAUUGAUGAAUGGACAAAUAGAACGUGAUAUAUACUUAGUGUGGAACAUUAUUCAGCUUUUAAGGGGAAGAAACUUCUGAUGCAUGCUACAACCUGAAUGAAGCUUGAGGACACGCUAAGAGAAAUAAAUUAGUCAUAAUAAGAUAAAUAUUCUAUGAUUUCACUUAUAUGAUGUACCUAGAGCAGUCAAAUUCAAGUGAAAUUCUUCUGAAUUUGACUAUAGAAGGUAGAACAGUGGUUAACAGGGCCUGAGAAUAGAGACACAACAUACCAAAAUCUCUGGGAUGCAACUAACGCAGUGAUAAGAGGAAAGUUUAUAGCAGGAAACACCUGUAUCAAGAAGGUUAGAAAAAUGUCAGAUUAACAACUUAAUAUUGCACCUAGAGAAACAAGAACAGACUGAACCCAAAGCUAGCAGAAGAAAAGAAAUAACCAAAAUCAGAGCACAUCUGGACGAAAUUGAGACCCCAAAAUCCGUACAAAGACUCACUACAAACAAAAGCUUGUUCUUUGAAGAAAUCAACAAGAUUGAUAGACCAUUAGGUGGAUUAACAAAGGUAAAGAGAGAAACC